CUGGAACAAACGCCCUCACGGGUGCUACCCAGAAACCCUUUGUGAAUACUACCUAAAAUGUUGCCUCGGCAUUGGUUGGCCUCCUUGAGGUCCCUUUCCCUCGGGGGAGGAGCAGACCGGCCGGUGGCCCUAUAAACUCUUGUUUUUGUAAUAUCAUCUGAGUAAAAA
rnacentral:misc_RNA from 1 species